AGAAAUAUGUCGUCAGCACGGAUCGGAGCGGGGACAUUCAUGUCCACGUGCAGGGCGAUCUCAGCCAGCAAGACAAGCGAUGCGUGUUCCUCACCGUCCACGACCUUGGAACUAACCACUCGUCCCUGGUGGACUUUGUGACCAGCCCGGCCAUGAGCGAGAUCAAGGAGCGGUCCUGCUUCAUCCACGUGGACGUGCCGGGCCACGAGGAGAACUCGCCUGACCUGCCUGAUUCAUAUCAAUUCCCAUCCCUCCAAACGUUAGGAGAAGAUCUGAUCACGGUCCUGGACUUCCUUCACGUUCGCUACGCCGUGGGCUUGGGAGAAGGCGCAGGCGCCAACGUCCUCGCUCGCUGUGGCCUGGCCCACCCUCGGAGGCUCCUCGGCUUGAUCCUGGUCAACUGCACAGCAUCCACAUCAUCCGUGGCUGAUGCGUUCCGAAGCAGGUUCUCCAGAUGGAAGGGAGCGGACAUCUCGCAGUCGGAGGAGGACUUCCUGAUCUACCACAAGUUCGGACACGUGAGUUUAGAGCCAGAGCCCGUAUAUUACGCCUACCAGCAAAUGUCAAGCGACGCGUGCGAGGCGGCUGAGCGCGAGCGAAUGCUCGCCGAAUACCGCUCGCGGCUGCGCGGGAACCUCAACACGCACAACAUCAAGCAGUAUGUGCGCGCCUUCAUCAACCGCAAGGACUUGAUCCUCAAGGGCUGUCAACCUGACAUUCUGCUGUUAACGGGCGCGCUCAGUCCAUACGGCAGCGUGGUCGAGAAGAUGUACAAGGAGCUCGACAAGGAGAAAGUCACCAUCCUCAAGAUGGAGCGGGUCGGAGACGUGCUGGCUGAGGCUCCAGCCAAAGUGGCGCAAUCGCUGCUGCUCUUCUGCCAAGGGCAGGGCCUGCUGACGUCACUUCCACCGCCGGGUGUGGAGCGGCGUAUGUCCCGCGCCAUGUCCAUGGAAGAAUACGACAAGCCAAACAUCCGGCGGCUGUCGCUGACGCCGGCCGCCGACUCGCCGCCGCCGCGCAAACUUUAGGCACGCAUCGCCGCUCUGCCGGAGUAGCGAGGACGGAGCGGUGGAUGAUAGGUACCGAAACGAUUGAAUCGUAGUAGAUGUUGCAAAAAUAUAUUGAAAAUCAGAGGUACAGUGUAGAGUAGUAUCAAAAGCAUUCUAGUUGUUGGCAAUACGCCGCUGUUUUUUAAUUUAUUACAAAGAAUUUAAUGGGUGACUAUAACUAAAGCCUGGUCCGUGAGCACGUAGAAUCUCGUCCAAUGACCCCAAGCUACCCAUCCUUAUCGCUCGCGCGUAAUUAUGUUGCUGUUGCGCUCGCACACUCACUGCGGGCGUCCGUUGCACAGUCGCGACAGCAAUAUAAUUACACACGAGUGAUAAGCAAAAUUCUACGUGCUCACGGACCAGGCUUUAGUAGAUGUUGCAAAAAUAUAUUCAGAAUCGAUGGAAAAAUGUAGAGUAGUAUCAAAAGCAUUCUAGUUAUUGGCAAUACGCCGCUGUUUUUUAAUUUAACACAAAGAAUUUAAUGGGUAACUAUACCUAUAAAUAAACAUUCAUCAAAACCAAAGGGAAAAUCGUAAAAUAAUAAUUUACCUUCCCGUACAAACUUCGGUAGCCAACUGUUAACUUUGUAAGGAAGGCAAAAUUUUUUAUGAUUAGAUUGUUUUUAAGAGUGUAGUCACCUAUUUUUAGUUUUUGGACUAGGUAAUAUUAAAAAACAACGGUGUAUAUUCGAUAGUAGUUACCAACAUGUUUGAUGUACUAGCGGUGAUGGUAAUAGAGGAAAGAUUUUGGGAUUUUACAA